rnacentral:rRNA from 1 species
UGGCUCAGGACGAACGCUGGCGGCGUGCUUAACACAUGCAAGUUGAACGGUAUGACAUGGAAGCUUGCUGAAGUGUCAUAUAGUAGCGGACGGGUGAGUAAUGCAUGAGAAGCUGCCAUUGGGAGGGGGACAACAGUUGGAAACGGCUGCUAAUACCCCGUAUGCCGGAGGGUGAAAGGGAGUAAUCCGCCCGAUGAGGUGCUCAUGUCCUAUCAGCUGGUUGGUGGGGUAACGGCCUACCAAGGCGACGACGGGUAGCCGGCCUGAGAGGGUGAACGGCCACACUGGAACUGAGAUACGGUCCAGACUCCUACGGGAGGCAGCAGUGGGGAAUAUUGGGCAAUGGGGGCAACCCUGACCCAGCGACGCCGCGUGGGGGAAGACGGCCUUCGGGUUGUAAACCUCUUUUGUACGGGAAGAAGGAAGUGACGGUACUGUACGAAUAAGUCCCGGCUAACUACGUGCCAGCCGCCGC